rnacentral:rRNA from 1 species
GACGAACGCUGGCGGCGUGCUUAACACAUGCAAGUCGAACGGAAAGGCCCUGCUUUUGUGGGGUGCUCGAGUGGCGAACGGGUGAGUAACACGUGAGUAACCUGCCCUUGACUUUGGGAUAACUUCAGGAAACUGGGGCUAAUACCGGAUAUGAGCUCCUGCUGCAUGGUGGGGGUUGGAAAGUUUCGGCGGUUGGGGAUGGACUCGCGGCUUAUCAGCUUGUUGGGGGGGUAGUGGCUUACCAAGGCUUUGACGGGUAGCCGGCCUGAGAGGGUGACCGGCCACAUUGGGACUGAGAGACGGCCCAGACUCCUACGGGAGGCAGCAGUGGGGAAUAUUGCAGAAUGGGCGGAAGCCUGAUGCAGCAACGCCGCGUGCGGGAUGACGGCCUUCGGGUUGUAAACCGCUUUCGCCUGUGACGAAGCGUGAGUGACGGUAAUGGGUAAAGAAGCACCGGCUAACUACGUG